UGCAACACCUCUGAGGGCAACAACGUUUGGCUCCUUGCCUAAGGAGAGAAACAGCCCUUCCCUGAGGUGUUGGAUGAACGACAGCUUCAUCAUUUGAAUCCCGGCAAGAGCAAAAGGAAGAAAAUAAACCAGUCACUAUCUCAAAGAUGCUGUCCUGCCAUCCUCCAGCUCCGUGAAGCCCUCUGCGACCCACUGACACAGGAAGUGUGUGGCCCCUCCUGGUGCAAAGAUAGCAGCACAGCAAGCCCACCACCCUACAAGCCCACAGGGCACCGGGCACCGGGCACACUGAAUCCAUUCUGUCACUCGCACUGAGCUGUAAGCAACUUGAGGAUGGAGACAGUACCUUUUUUUCUGUACUCUCAUCUCCUCACUUAUGGAGAGGGCUGUGGGUUCAUCAAGACCCUUUGCUCACCAGCACCAAGGCCAAGGGCCGCCAAACCAGCCGGAAGGAUAGGAACACUGCCUCUCCCAGGGCAUGGACCUUAGGAGCAGCUUAGUUCUGGAGGAACUGACUGUGUUUCCUAUGCCUUGUGACACGUACUUGCCCCUCAGAGGCACCUUGUAAUGGGCACAAUCAUAAUAUGGGAGAGUUUGUUUAAAACAUGGAAUCAGUGUCUAGGUAUAGAUUUCAAGCGUGACAGAGCACUGGUUUGCAAGAAUAACAUCAUUCCAGUGGGGAAAGCAGCCCAGCUUUGGCAGCCCUGCUGGCAAAGGUGGAUCUUGCAUUUACCUGUGCAGGGGAGGGGCAGAGAGGACUCUGGAAGGAAUCCUGGGCGUGUGUGCAUGAGUGUGGCGGGAAGCUCUCGAUUCACACACCCCCAUGACAAAAGGGCAGGCUGGGCCUGGGUCCCUGCCCUUGGGUUCCUGAAGGUUCUUGCUGCCUGGAGUGCAGGCAGUGAUCAUUCAGGAACAGCCUUCCUGGGCCCAGGGUGGCCAGGAGACCAGCUGUAAAAUGCCCAAUGGAGAAGGGUGAGGGGGCCUGGCCAGGCAGCUUACGCUCCGCAGCGAAUGCUCCGGAAGCCAGGCAGCGUGGCUUUUCCAAGCAGGUAAAUGUCGUCGUCCGUGCCCCGGUUGAGGUGCUUCACCAUGUUCUUCUCAAAGAGGAGUGGGUGGUAGGCGCCCAUCGUGCAGGCGCUGUCGAAGAACUUCUGGUAGUAGUAGCACACGUCAGUCUUGCGCUUGGAUGGGAGAAACUCGUAAAUAUCCACCUGGUCACACAGUGUCAUCAUGAUGACGAUGCCUGGAGAGGCGAGCAGAGGUGAGUCCUGCCCGACAACCCACCCCAGCUCCCCAGGGUUCUGCCCAGGGAGCCCAGCAGCUUGCGCCCCCAGAUCUGGGGAGGUGUCUGUCUGGAGUUGCUGAGUGCGAUUCCCAGUCUGAGUUGUUCUGGGAAGCCAGUCCAGCAGGCUGUUCCUCUGGGCGCAGGGCCCUAUGCACCUUCGUAGGGCUCGUGCUGCCCUGCUUAGCGCCCAGGUCAGGGCCUGGUGCACAGCAGGUCCUCCCUAAACGCUAACGGGUCGAAGGGCUCCAUCAUCAGUCAGUGAACUGAUCACUGUCCAAAAGCUAUAUGAAGAGAGAGGACAGCGUGACUGAGGAGACAGAACCAUUCCCUGCAGAUGUGACUUUCUAGCAUCUCUGUAUCUUGGAUCAGCCUCUUAGAUGGUAAUUUCGGAGGCGUUUCUUACCUCAGUACCUGGAGAAACAGCGUGGGGAGGGAAGGCUUCGUGCCUCAGGUGGGAGGAGGGACAGUUGGCACGGGAGCAUGCCAUGGUCUGUACUGAUGCGCUCUGCUCAGUCAGGCGGGAGACAGGAGCCGAGAGGGUGUGGCCAGGUUGUGCUCUCAGGGAGGGGUACAGAACACUCGGGGUGCAGACCCAGCAAGAGGCGGGAGACGCCUGCCACCACCCACGCUUGUCCCCACCUGGCUUGGUCAUCUCCUGCCGGACACGUCCUGCUUGGGGCCUCAGGUUCUUCAUCUGCCCCGAGGGGGUGAUCUACCCACUCUUCCUACCACAUAGGCUAUCGUUAGGAUGCAAUAACAUCAUGGCUCUAGACUGCCUUUGUCAACCGUAAAUAUAGGGAAUCUUUAUGAUGAACAGGUCUCACUAACAGCAAAACUGUAAACUGCUAGCAGCAACUCUGUUCUAGAAGAAUCAGACAUGGGAAAAGCCCCACCUCUGCCCUCUGGCUGCCUCCUGGUUCAAUGGGGGAGAAGAGACACCUCUGCAACUAACUGAUGAAGGCACAGCAGAAGUGCUUCUGGAGAUGAUGGGAGGGAGCCCUCUAUGAGAGAGGGUUCUGGUACACCUCCCGGAGCACUGGUAUGGGGCCCGGCAGGGGCUCCGGCCAUGAGGGGUGGGCAAGGGGGAAAGCCUGGUGGUGGCGGGAAUAGCAUGGGCAAAGGCAGGCAGUAGGGCGAUGAGAAAGUGUCCCAGGAAGCUCUCCAUCUACUUCUGCUCAAAAGGCGUCCAGGGAGAGCCCCCUAAUGCACCCAUCCAAAAGUGGAAGGGAAAGGUAUGAAGACGGUGGGAUGCUGAAAGCGCCUCCAUCUCUUUCUAUCAGGAAAUGCCUCUGAUAGUAAACAUCUAUUUGUUCAUUUGCUCAAGGAACAUUUAGCUCAGGGCUAUCCUGCGCCAGACCCACAAGGAU